GCCGCCUGCCAGUGCUUCUCAGUGCCGGUGCCGAGUGAUUGCCCCGCGUGGUCCACGGGCCGCCUAGGCGAACGCCCCAGAGGUAGCCGAGAGCCUCUGCCAGUGAUAAGACGCGACGCGACGCCGUGCCGGCCGCUCUGCGAGACUUGAACGCCAGAUCAGAACAGCAGCACCAGCGGGCGCCGCCAGGGCUUUCUCCGCGGUCGGGCCGGUCAGACCGACGGAUGUGACAAAGCAGCGGCCAGGAUGCGCAACUUCAAAGACGCCAGCAAAGCUGUGAGAAGAGCACGAAGAAGCUGUCAUGUCGGUGUCAAUUAGCAGAAUACGGUUAAUGGAACAUGAUAAGGUAAGUGGAGAAGACUGGCGGUUUCCCCUUGCAAUGAAAUUGGAAACCUGACGCUGGAAAAUGAUGUCACUGGGGGCUGAAAGAAAUACGUGAGUAACUAA